AAGUUAACACAAGAAAACAAAAAGCAAAUGAAUAUACAAAAACAAAAGAUGAGAUGGGAAAGAAAGAGAAAUAUACGUGUGUGUGCGUGUUUGUUGUGUUCAGGAGUGUGUUGUAUCUGUGUUUUGGUUU
rnacentral:ribozyme from 1 species